UAGUGUACUGUUGUAUGAAAAGGUGUA
rnacentral:piRNA from 1 species